rnacentral:lncRNA from 1 species
AGGACUAGCUCAGGCAGGUUGGGGUGGCCUAUGUGGAAAGGAACCCAGUCUAAAAGAACGAUGUUUUUCAGGUGCAGCCGCCCUGCCGAGGCGAUUUAGGGCAUCCAGACUACAGAGAGAGGGGAGAGAAGCGAGGAGGGGCCCUGGGAAGCUCUUGCCGGCUGGAGGCUCAGAAACGCAUCUCAGAUCACCUUGACCGAGUUUUGCAUCUUCCCUCGACAGUCUGCUUUACUCCCAGGGUUAGUCACACAGUGUGGGAACUGGUCCUCUGCCUCCCAGAGACGCAGUCGCCUGAUUGUCAUCUCUAUUUGUGAUGAGUGGCACACUUUUUGUGACUCACAGGUGGGGUAGAAGUGGAGCCCAGUCUUAGAGAUGCGAGUCCCACGUUGUUCUGAGGAGUGUCUACUUCAUGAUGGACUGCCUGCAGUGUGGCUUCCUCCUCCCCUCCUUGCCAACACAGACUCAAGUUCAUCCAGGUGCUGAUUCCUCAGGGAACAGAACCACAGCCCAAGGGGAUGGAGCUUUUGGAAUGUUUCAUGAAAGAGCAUGCACACAGACAUGCUCAGGCAAGAUUCCUAAGUGCAGCGUCUGUGAGAGGCAUCAGGCUGGGAGCCGAGGAGGAUGCGUCCUGUUUAGAGUCUCCUUCCAAGACAACCCCAGCACUGCAUCAGUGUAACUCCUCAUCGUUUCAUGAUGGCCAGGAUACCCAACCUCUCCACCCCUCCUGCCUUCUGCCUCAGCUUUCUUCUGUGCUGUAGUGUCCCCCAGAUGAUGGCAAAGAUGACGAGCAGCAGCCCAGGACUCACAUUCCACAGCCUGGGACUUCCUGAGGUACAGUCUUCCUCCCCCAGUAAUCCAAGAAACAGCACUGAUCUCAUUGGCAAACUUCUAAGUCGUGUCCAAUCUUGACCCCUUCGCUCUGGGCGGGGGAAGGGGUCCUCUAGUUGUUCGGGCCCAGGUUAAAUGCUCAUUUCUAGAAGGAGCAGGGCCAGUCAUAUCUAAGCCACGUGGACUGAAAAUGACAGCGGCUGGUUCUCAGAAAAGUGAUGUUAGACAGGGAGGCUGUCGGGAGUGGUGAAGGAAUAGUAGGUGUGCACUAUCCACAGGAACACUCACACUGUGCCUUCUCCCUUGUUUCUUCUCACAGGGCAAAGAUUCAGAAACGUGGAGAGAUCUAAGAAUCCCCCACAAAGUUUAUUGAAAAACACCCAUUCCAGGGCCUCACCUCACCUCCAGGAUUCGGAUUCCAGAUGCCCAGGGAUUACCUGUAACCUAUGCUUUUUUGCAAGCAGCAGAUACAGAUGGUCCAAACACCACAUUUUGAGAAACACAUGCAACAGAAAAAUGACAGACUUCUAGCAGCUCUCAGUGUUUACUACAAAUCCAAACUACCUGCGGUGUUUCCUCAAAACAGGUGCCUUGGCACUACCUGUAAACCUGAGUAAUCAACAUUUGCAGGGGUAAGGCUGGCAAACUGUAGUUGUGUGGCCCACCACGGGUGUUUCUGACCACUAUAAAGCAGUGAUUCUCAAGCUUCACUGUGGGUAGGAAUCAGCUGGGGAUCUUUAAAAAAAAAAUGUUUGGAGGCCAGUGCUGUGGCGCAGCGGGUUAAAGCCCUGGCCUGCAGUGCCAGCAUCCCAUAUGGGUGCCAGUUCUAGUCCCGGCUGCUCCUCUUCCAAUCCAGCUCUCUGCUGUGGCCUGAGAAAGCAGUAGAAGAUGGCCCAAGUCCUUGCGCCCCUGUACCCAUGGGAGACCUAGAAGAAGCUCCUGGCUCCUGGCUUCGGAUCAGCGCAGUUCCAGCCAUUGUGGUCAUCUGGGGAGUGAACCAGCUGAUGGAAGACCCCUCUCUCUGCCUCCCUACCUCUCUCUGUAACUCUGUCUUUCAAAUAAAUAAAAUAAAUCUUUUUUUUUUUAACA